UCCACCAUUUUGCUUCGUCUUCUGCUGUGAGUUGUUUUGUCAAAGUUGUCUGCUUUUUUAGGGUGUGAUUCACUGAAAAAUGUAACUUUUUGAGUUGAAAUAUGUGAUUUCAAAUUUUAAAACGGCCUAGUAGCUUCUAACAGCUUUCAUAUCUCAAUUUAGGUUAAUUUUCAACUAACUUCGUCACAAUCUGUUGAAGUCGAUAAUAGUUAGGUUAUAUCGUGUGUGAUCUAGCCCAAAUGUGAUUGAGUGCUUCGUAUAUUUUGUUUGGAAACGUUUAAAUUAAUCUAGAUUCAAUAUGUCUGGUGACAGAAAAACUGUCAUUAAAGGAAAUCCAUCUCAGUAUGUGAAAUUAAACAUUGGUGGCUCUUUGUAUUACACAACUAUAGGAACUCUUACAAAAUUAGACACAAUGCUAAGAGCAAUGUUUAGUGGACGUAUGGAGGUCCUUACAGAUUCAGAAGGCUGGAUCCUGAUAGACCGUUGCGGCAAGCACUUUGGUCGCAUCCUCACCUACCUGCGGGACGGUUCGCUGCCGCUUCCGGCCAGCGUCGUCGAGCUGUGCGAACUGCGAGCCGAGGCCAAGUACUACUGUAUCGGCGAACUGGCCGCCGACUGUGAUGCAGCCCUCAGUCGCCGUAGACAGGUGCAGGCCGAGCCAAUUUGUCGGGUGCCGCUCAUCAACAGUCAAAAGGAGGAGCAGUUGUUGAUCAGCUCUUCUUCUAAGCCUGUGGUGAAGUUACUUAUCAAUAGACACAACAAUAAAUACUCCUAUACAAGCGCAUCAGACGACAACCUUUUGAAAAACAUCGAACUAUUCGACAAGUUGUCGCUGCGUUUCUUCGGUCGUGUGCUGUUCAUCAAAGACGUGAUUGGUUCGAAUGAGAUCUGCUGCUGGAGCUUUUAUGGUCACGAGAAAAAAGUGGCUGAAGUAUGCUGCACGUCUAUCGUCUAUGCUACCGACAAAAAACACACUAAGGUGGAGUUCCCAGAAGCGCGUAUCUACGAGGAGACUCUGAACAUCCUGCUGUACGAGAGCAGGGUUGGCGGUGAAGAGGGGGCUGGUGGGGGCGCCGAUGGAGGGGAUGUGCUGAUGAUGGCCACCUCCUCCUCACUGGCUCUGGCAUCCUCCUCCUACACGACAACGGCGACCACCAGCGAUGAGGAGGAGCGCUCCUCCUCUGGAUUGGCCAAGUUGCGCUACAACAAGCAGAGCAACCAAUGAUAGGGACAUCGGUGAGAUGUGGUGCAGUGUGGUGUGCUGUGAACUGGGCUUUUGGACAAGGAAGGUGACAUGACUGUGAACUGGGCUUUUAGACAAGGAAGGUGACAUGACUGUGAACUGGGCUUUUGGACAAGGAAGGUGGUAUGACUGUGAACUGGGCUUUUGGAGAAGGAAGGUGACAUGACUGUGAACUGGGGUUGGUUUCAGAGAACUUUUAGAAGGAGUGACAUGAUUGUGAACUUGGCUUUUGGACAAAGAAGGUGACAUGACUGUGAACUAGGCUUUUAGACAAGGAAGGUGACAUGACUGUGAACUGGGCUUUUAGACAAGGAAGGUGGUAUGACUGUGAACUGGGCUUUUGGAGAAGGAAGGUGACAUGACUGUGAACUGGGGUUUGUUUCAGAGAACCUUUAGAAGGAGUGAGAUGAUUGUGAAUAUAGAAGGAGGUGAUAUGAUAGUAAACUUGGUUUAGUGGCAAUGUAGGAAGGAAGGUGACUUGAUUCUGAACUGGGGUUUGUUUCCGAGAACAUAGAAGAAGUGACAUGAUUGUGAACUGUGUUUUUUGACAGAGCAGGUGACAUUAUACUAAAGUUUGAAGUUACAGUGUGUAGGGAUGAAUGGAGCAGAACUUGACUCAAGGCACGCUUGAAUAUUGAUAUCAACCAUUGAUUGAUUAGAUUCAUAAGGUUGAGACCAUAUUAGGCGUUUCCAGAAUAAGCAGGGCAGGAAGCUCUCCAAUUCUCUGAUUGGGUUGACGCUUGAAAAACGCCUAAUUUGGUCUCGCUCUAACUCUGUUGUGAAACGAGUGAGAUUAUCAAGUCACAAAAAUACUCUGGUGUUGAGCAAAAACUGAUAUUUACUCGAUUCUGAAGUGGGGGUUAAUUUUUAAUUGACUCAAGGAACACUUAAAAUUAAUCCAACAUAUCGGACAAACUAGCUAGCUAAUGAAAGUCUUGGAAAUUGUUCACAUGGCUCUAGUAAGCUAGUCUAGAAACGUUUUUAUCUUCGGACAAAUUUACUGAUAUAGAGCUUCCUAAAAUUCUAUCUAGAUUUAUCUAUGUUUUGACGUUUUAGAGAGAUCUAUGAUAGCGUUAUACUAUACUAAUUUUUCACGAUAAUUCUUUUAUGUUUUGGUUCCAAAUUAUUUACAAAAAUGUUAGCCAAAUAUAAUUUUGUAUAAAACUGACUGUGUAUCGAACCUUAAUAUUAUUAUAACAAUUUUCAGAAACAUUCAAAACUAGGGAUAGACUUUUGUCACAGAUGAUAGAGAACCUUUAGUAACAGAUAGAUUCUCUAUUAUUUGUGCUUGUGUACUUUUCUAAGCUAGUCCUAUUAUUGUUGAUUUAUUUUUAAUUAAUAUAACUCUAGGGAAAUUGUUCUAGUUAGAGUUUUAUAUUACUAUGGGAAUAAAUUAUCAGAUUUA
rnacentral:misc_RNA from 1 species